AGGGUUCACACAAUGAAGCAAUGAGAAGCUCUCUCCACAGCAGGUGCUGUUUAAAGCAAGGGUUAAUCUACUCUUCUGGCCUCAGAUGAACCCAGUUUCAGAGCACCCUCAUGCCCCAGCUGUUCUUGUCCACCCUAGUAAACAUUACCCUGCUUCGGAUCUGCCAGCAUAGCCAUAGGUUGGAGGUGCUCCCUAACCCAAUUCUGUCACAGUAAUCUGGGUCAGCCUCAACACUUCACGCAGUACAUUUAUUUUUGUAACUCAUCACUUCAACAGUUGGGUUAAAGAACCCCUUCAUGUGCAAUUAUGCUGACAAAACUGAGAGGUAGUAAGUGCCGGAGGGGAGCUAAGCAGAGUACCAUAGAUGUGCUGGUAGCCAGGCAGCAGGCUGACCAUUCCAUGGAGCACACAGUGAACAAACGUGGGAACAGACCCAAGCACAUUUUAUUGUCAUCUUCUAGCAACAGUUCUGGCAUCUGACCAGGGAGGAGGUGUGGUGUCAUAUGGUGGGAAUGAUAUUCAGUAGAGGAAAAAGAGAAUUUACAAGCAAUUGUGUAUACAUGGUUAAAAUCAAAUAAGUAAGUCACGGUCAUGAAAACAAAACAGAACACAACAAAAACACCUUUAAAAUCAGCAAUGAAUGUAAGCACAAGGUAAAAUGAAAUACAGCAGAAUGCUGGCCCAAAUAGGUGAGGAGGAGGAGGGUGAGCUAUACUAAGGAGGAGGUUGGUGGAUGGGAGGACGUUCAAAGGGUGACUGGACACUUACCAAAGGGGAAAAUAUGUCUUAAACAAGGGCAGAAGAUUCACAUCGGCGCUGAAACCUGCAGGGAGGUCAGUGGUUGCUGUCUCAGUUUUAUGCAUUUUGAUCUUCAUGCUCUGCACUGCC
rnacentral:lncRNA from 1 species